CACACCCUCUCUGCUGCUCUGGUGCAGUAAAAAGUUUCUGUUGCUGCUUCUCAGCCAUACGCCCAAAGCUGUCCCAGCCCUUAACCUCUUCCCUGCUGACUUCCACCACUUUUUGCUUCUGCGUUCAGUCACAUCCCCUGGACUGCCAUCUUCCCGUACUCCUUCAGAGCUCCCCUUCAGGGUGGACUUAAAAGGCGUAAGCUCCUGCUUUGCAAUGAGGGAGAGAUCUUGUAACCUAUGCACACCAGAGGGAAAAAUCGCAGGAGUCAGAGGAAUUGCCACAAGGAAAGAUGUGGGCAGAAGCGAAUUUACUCUGAUUCAAAUGAAAACAAUGAACAACAACUUGGAAAACAAUGAACUCUUGACACAAAAGUGGGAUCAACCAGGUGCUGCAUACAGGAUAUUGAGAGCACCACAUCAUGGCUUCAGGCACAGACUGCU